GUAACUUUCUGAAAAUAACAUGUCGGUGGUUGUUUUCAGUUUAAUAUCUGAUACGUCCCCUACCCGGGGACCAUAUAUUAAAUAGAUUUUGGAACAGGGAGAUGGAAUAGGGGCUUGCUCCGUCCACUCCACGCAUCGACCUGGUAUUGCAGUAUCUCCAGGAACGGUCCACUCAAA
rnacentral:snRNA from 1 species